GAUGAACGCUGGCGGCGUGCCUAAUACAUGCAAGUCGAGCGAACAGACCAGUACCUGGCUCCUCUGGCGGUAGCGGCGGACGUAUGAGUAACACGUGGAGAACCUAGCUAUAGGACUAGGAUAGCUUCGUGAAACCAGAGCUGAUACCGGAUUUUAUAUGCAACCGCAUUGGUCAAUAGUGAUAUACGGUGUUGCUGUCACUUAUGGCUUGAUGCGAGCCGCAGUGGCUAGUUGGUACGGUGACGGCUUACCGAGGCCGCGGUGCGUAGGCGACCUGAGACGGCGAUCGGCCACCCUGGAACUGAGGCACGGUGCAGACGCCUGAGGGAGGCAGCAGUAGGGAAUCUUCCGCAAUGGGCGAAAGGCUGAAGGAGCAAAGCGGCGUGAGUGAUGAAGGUCUUCGGAUCGUAAAACUCUGUUAUCAGGGAAGAAUAAAUGUGUAAGUAACUAUGCACGUUUUGACGGUAGCUAAUCAAAAAGCCACGGCCAACUACGUG
rnacentral:rRNA from 1 species